rnacentral:rRNA from 1 species
UACGAAGGGUGCUAGCGUUGUUCGGAAUUACUGGGCGUAAAGCGCGUGUAGGUGGUUCUCAUAGUCAGGGGUGAAAGCCCGCAGCUUAACUGCGGAAUUGCCCUUGAAACUGGAGAGCUAGAGUCUGUUAGAGGAUAGUGGAAUUCCUAGUGUAGCGGUGAAAUGCGUAGAUAUUAGGAGGAACACCAGUGGCGAAGGCGGCUAUCUGGGACAGUACUGACACUAAGACGCGAAAGCGUGGGGAGCAAACAGG